UGAUAUCAGGUAAGAGUACCCACUGGAUUUAAGCAUAUAACUAAGUGGAGGAAAAGAAACUAACAAGGAUUCCCCUAGUAACGGCGAGUGAAGCGGGAAGAGCUCAAUCUUAAAAUCUCUAUAUUAAAUUGUAGUGAAUUGUAGUCUAUUGAAUUGGUUUUGCAAUGAACAUAUGGAAAAGUCCCUUGGAAGAGGGCAGCAUAGAGGGUGAUACUCCCGUCUUUGCCGUAUGAUUUAUUGUAUUAAUUCCUCUUUCAUUGAGUCGAGCUGCUUGGGAAUGCAGCUCAAAGCAGGUGGUAAAUUCCAUCUAAAGCUAAAUAUGUGUGUAAGACCGAUAGCGAACAAGUACCGUGAGGGAAAGAUAAAAGAACUUUGAAAAGAGAGUUAAACAGUACCUGAAACUGCUGAAAGGGAAUCGGAUUGUUGCCAGUGUGAUCCAAUACAUAUUUCAAUAGUGAGUAAUCGUUGUUGCCCUGUGUGUUGGUGUGAUGUUAGGGUCAAUUGAUUUUGCAAGAAAUUGGUAAGAGGGAGGUAGGUGAUAUUUUCGGAUAUGACUAUUAUAUUCUUUUGCUAGUGUUGUGAAUGAGAUUGAGGAAACAAUGUGCAAUUUAUUUACUUUUCAUCUUUUUUGACUUAUUUAUUUUACAGCUUGCUGUUAUUUAAGUAAUGUUUUGAGAAACUUGAUAUGUAGACAAUGCCAUUCGGGACCCUGACAAAAUGGAGCAAUCUGUCCCGUCUUGAAACACGGACCAAGGAGUCUAACAUGUAUGCAAGUAUUUAAGUGGUAAACUUAAAUGCAUAAUGAAAGUGAAUUAAAGCAUUUAGCUUUAUAAGGUAGGAAGAGUUUUACUCUGCACUAUCAACCGAUCUAGAACCUUCGGGUAAAAGAUUUGAGUAUGAGCAUGUAUGUUGGUACCCGAAAGAUGGUGAACUAUGCCUGAAUAGGGUGAAGCCAGGGGAAACUCUGGUGGAGGCUCGUAGCGGUUCUGACGUGCAAAUCGAUCGUCAAAUUUGGGUAUAGGGGCGAAAGACUAAUCGAACCAUCUAGUAGCUGGUUCCCUCCGAAAUUUCCCUCAGGAUAGCA
rnacentral:rRNA from 1 species